rnacentral:tRNA from 1 species
GCUGAGAAUGUGGCUCAGUGGUAGAGCACUUGCCUAAUAUGCAGGAGGAUCUGGGUUUGAUCUACAGCUCUGCA